UCACCUGUAGCUCAGUUGGUAGAGCAUGGAGCUUGCAAUGGUAGGGUUGUGGGUUCGAUUCCCACGGGGGAU
rnacentral:tRNA from 1 species